rnacentral:lncRNA from 1 species
AAGCAUGUAAUAAUUUUUGUCAAGCAUGAAGUUUUUUAUUAAUAUGAGAUAACUUAUUAUUUUUUAAGGGGAAUUGAUUAGGUUACUUAGUUAAAUUGCAUAAUAGAUUAGAAUUACCUAAGUAAGAAUGUUUGAUGAUGCCAUAUGAGAUGUACGUCUUUUAGAUAAUCCUAGAGACAUGAAUGCUUGAUUUGAUUAUUAAUCAUUCGGUAUAAUUUGAAGCAUGAAAGAAAUUGUGUAUAGUGGGAUGC